rnacentral:rRNA from 1 species
AUUGAACGCUGGCGGCAGGCCUAACACAUGCAAGUCGAGCGGAGCGGCGGACGGGUGAGUAAUUCCUAGGUAUCUGCCUGGUAGUGGGGGAUAACGUCCGGAAACGGGCGCUAAUCUCGCAUACUAUCAGAUGAGCCUAGGGCGGAUUAGCUGGUUGGUGGGGUAAAGGCCUACCAAGGCGCCGAUCCGUAACUGGUCUGCGAGGCUGUUCAGUCACACUGGAACGUAGACACGGUCCAGACUCCUACGGGAGGCAGCAGUGGGGAAUAUUGGACAAUGGGCGAAAGCCUGAUCCAGCCAUGCCGCGUGUGUGAAGAAGGUCUUCGGAUUGUAAAGCACUUUAAGUUGGGAGGCGUUACCAACAGAAUAAGCGCCGGCUAACUACGUGCCAGCAGCCGCGGUAAUAC